rnacentral:lncRNA from 1 species
UUACAUUGUGUUCUGGAAGAUUCAACUCAUUGUCAGGUAGUUGGACUUGUAGGGCAAGAGCUACUACCCACUGCGCUGUCUAGCUUGCCAAAAAAAGAACUUUUAAAGAGCCAGUUCACUUUCUACAAGUGUUGCUUUCUGUGUUAAGACCUUACUCUGGAUGCAGAGACUGGUGGAUCUGGUGAGGCUGGUGCGAGUUUGAGGUUUGAGAUCAGCUUGGUCUAUAAAGUGAGUUCCAAGACAAAUACAGAUGCAAUAAUAUAAUUUAGUACUGUGUAGUUUGGGAUUUUUGCUUUUUGAGAUGGUCUCACUGUAUUCCUGGCUAAUCUCAAUCACAGAGGUGAGCCACUGUGCCUAGCUACUGCAUAAUUUUAAAAAUUUGAUUUUGGUCUGAUUGUUUUGUUUUGCUUUGUUUUUUUUGUUUUUCCAGACAGGGUUUCUCUGUGUAGCCCUGAAUGUCCUGGGCUACAGAAAUCCUCGACCUCAGAAAUCCUUCUGCCUCUGCCUCCUGAGUGCUGGGAUUAAAGGCGUGCGCCACCACACCUGGCUGGUCUGAUAGUUUCUUUUGAGGCUAUUUAACAAAUAUGCUAUUUCCUAAGCAUAUUGUGCCUUGUUUUUAAAGUUUACAUUUACGUUUUACAUGCUUAGCCUUUAUUUUUUUAGGUUUUUUUUGUUUUUGUUUUUGUUUUAGUUUUUUUUUGGAGACAGGUUUUCUCUCUAGACCAGGCUGGCCUUGAACUCAGAAAUCCACCUGCCUCUGCCUUCCAAU